rnacentral:rRNA from 1 species
GAAUUCUGGACAAUGGGCGCAAGCUCGAUCCAGCCAUGCCGCGCUAGUGAAGAAGGCCUGCGGGUUGUUAAGUUCGUUCGGUCGGUCAGAAAUCGCGCAUGCUAAUACCCUGCGCGGAUGACUGUCCCGUCCUCAGAAGCACGGGCUAACUACGUCCCAGCCGCCGCGGUAAUACGUAGGGUGCGAGCUUUUAUCGGAAUUACUGGGCGUAAAGCCUGCGCAGGCGGUUGAUUAAGACAAGCGUGAAAUCCCCGGGCUUAACCUGGGAACUGCGCUUGUGACUGGUCAGCUAGAGUACGGCAGAGGGGGGUGGAAUUCCACGUGUAGCAGUGAAAUGCGUAGAGAUGUGGAGGAACACCGAUGGCGAAGGCAGCCCCCUGGGCAGAUACUGACGCUCAUGCACGAAAGCGUGGGUAGCAAACAGG